rnacentral:rRNA from 1 species
GACGAACGCUGGCGGCGUGCCUAAUACAUGCAAGUAGAACGCUGAAGGAGGAGCUUGCUCUUCUGGAUGAGUUGCGAACGGGUGAGUAACGCGUAGGUAACCUGCCUGGUAGCGGGGGAUAACUAUUGGAAACGAUAGCUAGUACCGCAUAACAGUAGAUGUUGCAUGACAUUUACUUAAAAGGUGCAAUUGCAUCACUACCAGAUGGACCUGCGUUGUAUUAGCUAGUUGGUGGGGUAACGGCUCACCAAGGCGACGAUACAUAGCCGACCUGAGAGGGUGAUCGGCCACACUGGGACUGAGACACGGCCCAGACUCCUACGGGAGGCAGCAGUAGGGAAUCUUCGGCAAUGGACGGAAGUCUGACCGAGCAACGCCGCGUGAGUGAAGAAGGUUUUCGGAUCGUAAAGCUCUGUUGUAAGAGAAGAACGAGUGUGAGAGUGGAAAGUUCACACUGUGACGGUAUCUUACCAGAAAGGGACGGCUAACUACGUG